GAUGAACGCUGGCGGCGUGCUUAACACAUGCAAGUCGAACGAAGCAUUUGCGACAGAUUUUUUCGGAAUGAAGUUGCUUAUGACUGAGUGGCGGACGGGUGAGUAACGCGUGGGUAACCUGCCUUGUACUGGGGGAUAGCAGCUGGAAACGGCUGGUAAUACCGCAUAAGCGCACAAUGUUGCAUGACAUGGUGUGAAAAACUCCGGUGGUAUAAGAUGGACCCGCGUCUGAUUAGCUAGUUGGUGAGAUAACAGCCCACCAAGGCGACGAUCAGUAGCCGACCUGAGAGGGUGACCGGCCACAUUGGGACUGAGACACGGCCCAGACUCCUACGGGAGGCAGCAGUGGGGAAUAUUGCACAAUGGAGGUAACUCUGAUGCAGCGACGCCGCGUGAGUGAAGAAGUAAUUCGUUAUGUAAAGCUCUAUCAGCAGGGAAGAUAGUGACGGUACCUGACUAAGAAGCGCCGGCUAAAUACGUG
rnacentral:rRNA from 1 species